CAGCAGCCACGGUAAUACGUAGGGUGCGAGCGUUAAUCGGAAUUACUGGGCGUAAAGCGUGCGCAGGCGGUGAUGUAAGACAGUUGUGAAAUCCCCGGGCUCAACCUGGGAACUGCAUCUGUGACUGCAUCGCUGGAGUGCGGCAGAGGGGGAUGGAAUUCCGCGUGUAGCAGUGAAAUGCGUAGAUAUGCGGAGGAACACCGAUGGCGAAGGCAAUCCCCUGGGCCUGCACUGACGCUCAUGCACGAAAGCGUGGGGAGCAAACAGGAUUAGAUACCCGCGUAGUCCCUGUCUCUUAUAC
rnacentral:rRNA from 1 species